UAGGGCGUAGCUCAGUUGGUAGAGCACCGGUCUCCAAAAACCGGGUGUCGCGAGUUCGAGUCUCUCCGCCCCUGCCA
rnacentral:tRNA from 1 species